rnacentral:rRNA from 1 species
AGAAUCAACGCUGGCGGCGUGCCUAACACAUGCAAGUCGCACGAGAAAGGGACUUCGGUCCUGAGUAAAGUGGCGCACGGGUGAGUAACACGUGAAUCAUCUACCUCCGAAUGGGGAAUAACUGAGAGAAAUCUUAGCUAAUACCGCAUAAUACCUACGGGUCAAAGCAGCAAUGCGUUUGGAGAGGAGUUCGCGGUCGAUUAGUUAGUUGGCGGGGUAAUGGCCCACCAAGACGAUGAUCGAUAUCCGGCCUGAGAGGGCGCACGGACACACUGGAACUGAAACACGGUCCAGACUCCUACGGGAGGCAGCAGUGGGGAAUUUUGCGCAAUGGGGGAAACCCUGACGCAGCAACGCCGCGUGGAGGAUGAAAUAUCUUGGUAUGUAAACUCCUUUCGAUGGGGAAGAUAAUGACGGUACCAUAGAAGAAGCCCGGCUAACUUCGUGCCAGCAGCCGC